AUGAAGAACCAAUUGGGGAACAGGAUCUCAGCAUCAGAACUACCAUUACAAGGGAACUGGCAAUGAGAGACAAAUGAUAUACAUGGAAUGAUGUCAGUUUAAACCAGGUGCCGAAGCAAAGAUUGGAAAAUGAAGGUUUCCUGAAAUGUCUUGGGGUGUAAAUCAGGCAUUGGUGGAAGCAGUGAUCUUUCAGAGAAGAGUGGACAUUGUCUUAAGUGCCUCACAAGGGAGAGAGACCACCGCAUCCUCUCCCAGGGAUCUUAAUCACAGCUGAGACUCCGGCUAUUUCAAGCAUAGAAGCUUCUAAUUGACUUUCAGAGCUGUAAUGCAUGUCUGGGACUCAUGGAGAAUAUGAACAAACUCACUGCAAAGCCUUCUGGAUACUUUCUCCCAGGGUAUCAGGAUGCAGCUCUGAGCUACUUCUCCAGCACCAUACCUGCAUGCCAUCAUACUUCUUGCAGCCAUAAUCCUGGCCAUGAUGAUAAUGGACUAAACCUCAUAAACUGUAAGCAAGGCCACAAUUAAAUGUUU
rnacentral:lncRNA from 1 species